rnacentral:rRNA from 1 species
AUUGAACGCUGGAGGUAUGCUUAACACAUGCAAGUCGAACGGUAACAGGCCGCUAGGAUCCCUUCGGGGUGACUUUGGCGCUGACGAGUGGCGGACGGGUGAGUAACGCGUAGGAAUAUACCUAGUAGUGGGGAUAACAUGGAGAAAUUCAUGCUAAUACCGCAUAUGUCUUAUGAGAUAAAGAGGGCCUCUUCUUGAAAGCUCUUGCUAUUAGAUUAGCCUGCGUCGGAUUAGCUUGUUGGUGGGGUAAUGGCCCACCAAGGCGACGAUCCGUAGCUGGUCUGAGAGGAUGAUCAGCCACACUGGGACUGAGACACGGCCCAG